rnacentral:lncRNA from 1 species
CACUAUGUGAUGUUAUUUCAUCAGUCAGAGUACGACAAAUAUGAAGCACUGGUACGUGCAAGUCCGCAGUACUGUUGUGGUUUAGUAACAACGAAUGAGGAAAAACUGAAAAAUACUUAGUAUCUUGUAUGAAGGUACUUGAGUAAAAGGAAGCAAUACAAGUACAAAGUAGUGACUUCCCUGCUUGCCACCUUUUCUGAACUCCCAAUGACCACAUAUUUCAAACUAAAAUUUCUUAUCAAGUAAAGGAACUUCAUGGCAAACUAGCAACAACUCAAUCCAAAAGGGAGAACUGAAGCAAACAAAAGUAGAUGCACCUUCCUUUUCCCAACCAGGCCACCACAAAAUCCAAGCAAAUGCACAGCCCCACCUAGAGACCAAAGAAAAGGAUGAGGUGGAGAGAGAGACCAGUGCACGAUGGAUGAAGAGGCUAAGCUCUUUGUAAAGUUCAGCUAGCAAAAGCAUGUUCACUACAGAGCACAAAUAAGAACACUGUCAUGCUGUCAUGUUUCAAAAUUGACAGUAACAUAUAUCAUAAAAGAAUGAUAAGAUCAUGAAACUCAAGUAGUAUUCAUUAAUCUAGGUAGUUAAUUAUAUUGCACAACGUUUUAGCAUUUAAGUGGCAUUACCUUCACAAAAAUGAGACAGAACAACUUCAAAAACAGGUCCAGUACACAUGGAUUAGCCAAAUUCGGAUUUUCAAAAUGAUGUUAUAUCCCUGGUACUCUCUAACCUGCCAAAGAAAUGACAGUAUUUAGAGGGCACAAAUGAAGGAAAGAAAAAAAAUAUUAUGUACUUGUUUCCCUCCUCCAAACAGGUGUUCCCCCUUCAUUUAACUUCUAUCAAGAGAUCAAAUUAUGACCAUAAUAAUAGAUGACAGACCUAAAAAAAUGUUCUCAAAUUUGACGAGAGAAAGUGAGGCCUGGGAUCUUUUAUCGAACGUUUGAUCUACCUCUAGAUGCUAGGAUGAUGGCAAUGAUGAAAGGGACAUGUAUGCCGGCACUGUCGGCAAAAUCGGUGUAAUGAUUAAAAAUAUACGCACUUCAUAUAGUACAAAAAAGAAGAGGAAAACCUGAAUGAUCCAACAACUAUUGACUAUUUGACUUCAUGUACAGAAGAAAUGUAGAUUUUAACAAAAAUAGUGUGAAGAAACAAUAUGAAUGAUGGAUCUCACGUAAGGUAUAACUAUCAUCUCAUAAGCACAAUGUAAAAUUAAACUCAAGCAACAACUAUCCAGAAGACACAAGUGAUCCAACUCAUGGACAGAGCAUGAUAAUUUAAGAGAGCUUCAACAUAGUGAUAUAAUCUAGUAAUUUAUCUCUAGUAGCUAGUUACGGAUGUCACACAUCAAAUGGGAAAAUAAUUCAGUUAACCUCCGCAGAUACCUUGUAGGCACUCGUUGAAACAAAACGACUAAAAGAGAACUGACAAUGAGUAGAAUUCAGAACCAACAUGAAGCGAGUCAUGUCUGCUAAUAUCAUUUCAAACAACUUGAUUAACUUAAUACUAAUUUGACCCAUGGUAAGUUCUCAGGAAAACUAACUUACCCAGUACAACUUUCAUCAUCGUAGUUCAUCACAGAAAAUUUUGCAAAGCAAUUAAUCAAUUAAGAGUAACCAGUUAUAAAUGUUGGGAAAUACAAUGAAGACAUAAUCCCACCAGAAUCGGAAAACAAACCAAUAUGCUAGUGCAUACUUGUAACUACAGCCAUAACUUUCAGAAGUUAGGUUACUCAGCGUGCGGCGUACACAUUGAUCAAUAAAACAAAUACACAAACUUAUCGUUACAACCAUUAUUCACUGACUGGAUGCAUGCAUUCACUACAUGCAUAAUAUAAUGGACUCACGGGGUUAAGUGACUCUGCUCUGCCAAGAUCCACAUACACUGCAAAUCCCAAAAGGCCUAUCAGACUAUCACCAAUAUGUGUGAAUAUUUGGGUGCUGCCGAGACCUGCACCGCGAUCCAAAUUCAGACAAUGGAACGCCAUCAUACAGCGACACGACCAAAUGGUACAACAGACAAAUGAACGCCACCGUAGCACCAUAUUAGCAAAACAAAUGAGCAUAUGUCAACUAUUGUUGAACUUAAUCGUCCCUCCCAGUCCUUUUUUCU